rnacentral:rRNA from 1 species
UACUAGAGUAGCACUCGCAUAUCAAUAAGCGGAGGAAAAGAAACUAACAAGGAUUCCCCUAGUAACGGCGAGUGAAGCGGGAAGAGCUCAAAUUUGAAAUCUUAAAGGGUUUCCCUUUACGAAUUGUAGUUUAAAGAAGUGUUUUCUGUUGAGGUUUUGGUAAAAGUUCUUUGGAAUAGGACAUCAUAGAGGGUGAGAAUCCCGUAUUUGACCUUUACUUUCAACUUUGUGAUACACUUUCAAAGAGUCGGAUUGUUUGGGAAUGCAGUCCAAAAUGGGUGGUAAAUUUCAUCUAAAGCUAAAUAUUGGCGAGAGACCGAUAGCGAACAAGUACCGUGAGGGAAAGAUGAAAAGAACUUUGAAAGAGAGUUAAACAGUACGUGAAAUUGUCAAAAGGGAAGCGUUUGACACCAGUGUUGUUUUUCUGAAAAUCAAUUAAAGAACUGUUUAUGCUAAGUUGUUUAGACUUUAUCAGCUAACUGUUUAGUUUUGAGCUUUUCUUUAAUGCACUUUUCAGUUAACAAGUCAACAUCAAUUUCUUUUGCUGUAAAAAAGCUUGAGGAAGGUGGCUUGAGAUUCGUCUUAAGUGUUUAUAGCCUCUUGCCUAUGCAGUCGGAGAGAUUGAGGUCUGCAGCGUAGAUCCUUCGGGGCUAAAUGCAUUUGUGCUAAGUUAUAGCAUUUUAUAGACAACUUGUUGACUAUGAUUUGUCUUGUAGCUUACUCGCUUAUGUUAUUUUACCUACGCUUAGGAUGUUGAGUAGCGACAUACGCAC